rnacentral:rRNA from 1 species
GACGAACGCUGGCGGCGUGCUUAACACAUGCAAGUCGAACGGAAAGGCCCUGCUUGCAGGGUACUCGAGUGGCGAACGGGUGAGUAACACGUGGGUGAUCUGCCCUGCACUUCGGGAUAAGCCUGGGCAACUGGGUCUAAUACCGGAUAGGAGCCAUUUUUAGUGUGAUGGUUGGAAAGUUUUUUCGGUGUAGGAUGAGCUCGCGGCCUAUCAGCUUGUUGGUGGGGUAAUGGCCUACCAAGGCAGCGACGGGUAGCCGGCCUGAGAGGGUGGACGGCCACAUUGGGACUGAGAUACGGCCCAGACUCCUACGGGAGGCAGCAGUGGGGAAUAUUGAACAAUGGGCGCAAGCCUGAUGCAGCGACGCCGCGGGGGGGAUGACGGCCUUCGGGUUGUAAACUCCUUUCGCUAGGGACGAAGCUUUUUGUGACGGUACCUAGAUAAGAAGCACCGGCUAACUACGUG